rnacentral:rRNA from 1 species
UUGGAGGGCAAGUCUGGUGCCAGCAGCCGCGGUAAUUCCAGCUCCAAUAGCGUAUAUUAAAGUUGUUGCAGUUAAAAAGCUCGUAGUUGAAUUUCGGGAUCAGCAGGUCGGUCGUGCCACUGGUAUGAACUGGCCUCGCUAAUCCCUCCCUCUUGACGAACUGUGAUGCCAUUAAUUUGGUGUCGCAGGGAAUCAGGACUGUUACUUUGAAAAAAUUAGAGUGUUUAAAGCAGGCUCACGCUUGAAUACAUUAGCAUGGAAUAAUGAAAUAGGACGUUUGAUCCUAUUUUGUUGGUUUCUAGGAUUGACGUAAUGAUUAAUAGGGAUAGUUGGGGGCAUUAGUAUUCAAUUGUCAGAGGUGAAAUUCUUGGAUUUAUUGAAGACUAACUACUGCGAAAGCAUUUGCCAAGGAUGUUUUCAUUAAUCAAGAACGAAAGUUAGGGGAUCGAAGACGAUCAGAUACCGUCGUAGUCUUAACCAUAAACUAUGCCGACUAGGGAUCGGAUGAUGUUAAUUUUUUAAUGACUCAUUCGGCGCCUUACGGGAAAC